rnacentral:rRNA from 1 species
GGGCGUAAAGCGCACGCAGGCGGUCUGUUAAGCUAGAUGUGAAAGCCCCGCGCUCAACGUGGGAGGGUCAUUUAGAACUGGCAGACUAGAGUCUUGGAGAGGGGAGUGGAAUUCCAGGUGUAGCGGUGAAAUGCGUAGAGAUCUGGAGGAACAUCAAUGGCGAAGGCAACUCCCUGGCCAAAGACUGACGCUCAUGUGCGAAAGUGUGGGUAGCGAACAGGAUUAGAUACCCUGGUAGUCCACACCGUAAACGCUGUCUACUAGCUGUUUGUGGAUUUAAUCCGUGAGUAGCGAAGCUAACGCGAUAAGUAGACCGCCUGGGGAGUACGGCCGCAAGGUUAAAACUCAAAUGAAUUGACGGGGGCCCGCACAAGCGGUGGAGCAUGUGGUUUAAUUCGAAGAUACGCGCAGAACCUUACCAACGCUUGACAUGUUCGUCGCGAGACUAAGAGAUUAGUUUCUUCAGUUCGGCUGGACGAAACACAGGUGCUGCAUGGCU